AUUGAACGCUGGCGGCAGGCCUAACACAUGCAAGUCGAACGAGUGGCGGACGGGAGAGUAAUGUCUGGGAAACUGCCUGAUGGAGGGGGAUAACUACUGGAAACGGUAGCUAAUACCGCAUACCAUCGGAUGUGCCCAGAUGGGAUUAGCUAGUUGGUGGGGUAAAGGCUCACCUAGGCGACGAUCCCUAUCUGGUCUAGGAGGAUGAACAGCCACACUGGAACUGAGACACGGUCCAGACUCCUACGGGAGGCAGCAGUGGGGAAGAUUGCACAAUGGGCGCAAGCCUGAUGCAGCCAUGCCGCGGGUAUGAAGAAGGCCUUCGGGUUGUAAAGUACUUUCAGCGGGGAGGCGUUACCCGCAGAAGAAGCACCGGCUAACUCCGUGCCAGCAGCCGCGGUAAUAC
rnacentral:rRNA from 1 species